rnacentral:tRNA from 1 species
GGGCGCGUGGCGGAACUGGUAGACGCGCAGGAUUCAAAAUCCUGUUUCCUUGGAAGUGAGAGUUCGAUUCUCUCCGCGCCCACCA